UACGGGGGGGGCAAGCGUUGUUCGGAAUUACUGGGCGUAAAGGGCUCGUAGGCGGCCAACUAAGUCAGACGUGAAAUCCCCAGGCUUAACCUGGGAACUGCGUCUGAUACUGGAUGGCUUGAAUUCGGGAGAGGGAUGCAGAAUUCCAGGUGGUAGCGGUGAAAUGCGUAGAUAUCUGGAGGAAUACCGGUGGCGAAGGCGGCAUCCUGGACCGAGAUUGACGCUGAUGAGCGAAAGCUAGGGGAGCAAACGGGG
rnacentral:rRNA from 1 species